GCCGGGCGUCGUGGCGCACGCCUGUAGUCCCAGCUACUCGGGAGGCUGAGGCAGGAGAAUCGCUUGAACCUGGGAGGCGGAGGUUGCAGUGAGCCAAGAUUGCACCACACUGCACUCUAGCCUGGGUGACAGAGCGAGACUCCGUCUCAA
rnacentral:SRP_RNA from 1 species